UACGGGGGGAGCAAGCGUUGUUCGGAUUUACUGGGCGUAAAGGGCGCGUAGGCGGCCACCGCAAGUCGACUGUGAAAUCUCCGGGCUUAACCCGGAAAGGUCAGCCGAUACUGCGGGGCUAGAGUGCGGAAGGGGCAACUGGAAUUCUCGGUGUAGCGGUGAAAUGCGUAGAUAUCGAGAGGAACACCUGCGGCGAAGGCGGGUUGCUGGGCUGACACUGACGCUGAGGCACGAAAGCGUGGGGAUCAAACAGG
rnacentral:rRNA from 1 species